UUAAAAAAAAAAAAAACAAAUAUUCUUAUCAAAUUAAUAAUCUUUCAAUAUACGAAGGCCACCAUAUUUUUCGCAAGUGGUCUCAGAAAGGCCACCAUAUUUUUCUGCAAGUGCUCUCCGAGCAACUGGUCAAGUUGCUGUGGUUUCAUUUUGGUGAUUCAGACAGCAUCAAACAAACCAUGGGAGUAUGUUUUUCAGUAUGCACUGAAGCACAUAGUUUCCUACCCAGUGCGCCUGAAACCCCUAUUAUAGGUUGCAGCAAUGUCCCUUUCUGCUGAUAUAGGAUGUUCUUUCCAAUUAUAUUCUGUAAGUUGACAUCAACUAGCAAUUUUCAACUUUUUAGUAGCCUUUAUUCUUGUUGUCAACAGAUGGGCAGCCAGAGUGCUUGUGAGCAGUGAUGAUGCUUGUGGUCAUGGACGAAAGGUACGGAAGGUCACGAAAUCCUUGAGCAAAUUCUGAAAUUUGGCUUUGUGUUUCAAUGGAUUUCGUAAAGUUUUUUAUUGGAACAUCUUAAUUGUUUGAAUAUUUUAAGAAUACUAUCACUAGAGUGAAAUGAUAUAAAAAAGUUGUGCAGCAAUUGCUAGAUGGAAUUUUCCUGGUGCUACUUGGCCACUGAACCAGAAGUAUUUGAAAAUAAUUUAUAUCUUAUUGUUUAUCAUUCCUUGACUCUUUACUUGCAGGAAGUUGGGCUCCCAAGUCAAGUUGCCAAGUUUUCUAAGAGAAUAGCUGCGAUUCCUUUGCAGCAAAGGAGUAAAUCUAAUCACUUCCUCAACAUGAUUGGUUUGAGUACUGCACACUCUGAUAGCAUGGAUGUUCAGGUGACU
rnacentral:misc_RNA from 1 species